ensembl:lncRNA
GCCCAGGGGCCUGCCGCGGGGCUGGGCAGCCGAGGCCCGCGCUCCCGAGCCGCCCGGGGCAUUGGAUACGGCAGGGCUCCCAGGGUUCUGCUACGCAGCUUUGCACCCUGAACCCGAAGUCGGUUCAGACCCACUAAUGCUCGUAAAAUGGGAACGAACAUCCGACCCCAGCUCCCCGGGCGUGGGGCAGGCUGCGCCACAAUUAGAGACACCCAGAUCCCAGGGUGGUCCCAACCACAUCCGGCUGCGCCCUUGAAGCCGAGACGCGCGUAGGAGGCCUCCCUUAGUGGCUGGGAAGUGACAAGAAAAUUAAACGCAACAGGGGAAACGAGCUUAACGUGCACCCGCGGCAUCAGGGCUCGGCAACAUGGCCCACAGUCCCGAGGAGACUAGCCUGAUGUUGGGGUUUGGGGCCAGGGCUUUCCGAAGGAGACUGAGCAGACCUCGGCCAACGGUCUCCGGGGGGCAAGCUUUCUGGGAGCGUGGCUGGUUUGCCCUUCGUAGGCCCGGAAACCACGGUGCCCGGAAAGGCCAAGCCAGGCCCGGAAGGAUCCUUGACGGAAUGGGGUGGGCAAAAAGUGGCUCCUGCCAGCUGGAUGCCAGCUCCCGAGGCGAGGGGAAGGAGGAAGGUGGAAAAUGGAGAGAACCUGGCGGAAACACGCUCUUCGAGACCACCCGCAACACCUGGACCACCCAGGGCGAGGCCUGGAACUGCGAAGCCUCGAGGCCUGCUUGGCCAAGCGGCUUGAAAGGCCGGAGAGGGGACUGCCUUCUUCCGGAAGGCCGACCUUCCAGAGGGGUAUCACCAACUGGGGAUUCUCCGUAGCGGCUGGCAGCCCCGCAGUCGGAGUCCACACCCGCGCCACCCCCUUAGAUGCUCAGCCUGCGCUCCACUUCGAAAUACGGAUCAUAUGCGGGGCUGAAGGAAGGGUAGGGAAGCGGCGCGGGCAUGAGCGAUUAAUUAAAGGGAAACCACAUCCGACAAAAGAGUUUUGUGAAAGGAGCCGAGUCGGAGAGGAGCUUCUGACCCUGCAGCUGUGGCCCAGACGGAUCCGCCUGCGACUGGGCCCUCCAGCAGAGGACACGGCGCAGGGGCCUGCUGGCCCAGCAAAAGGGACCCGCCUGGCUUGCAAAAACCAUGUGCUUUAAAUAAAGCUCAAGGUUAAAAGUUGCUGGGUUGGCCUGGGUCCCGGGGAGGUGGCUCGGUGAUCUCUGAGGCCGCAGCCACCUGGAUCCCCUACUAUAGUCUUGGAGACAGCACUGCCAAUAGAGGCCCUGCAGGCUUCUACAUUCAUUCACCAGGCCAAGCAAAGCCAGCCUGCAUUCACCAGGCAGGACUAUGCUGGAGACAGAGAUUUAAGAUGGAAAGAACUUUGGCCAAGAGAUGAAAUUAUGAUACCAAGAAGAAGAAGAAGAACAUAAACAAAAAGUAGAUUCUGAGGAAAAUGAGAACUUCCAUCGAAUCUAUACUUCUCGGAAUUACACUUCCGCUAAAGCUGCCUGGUGGGCCUGUUCCCUUGGUGGGCUCAAAAUAGACGAGACAAACCGGGAAAAAAAAGGUGUGAAAAUGACGUCAGAAUCUGAAGCGGUGCCCCACAAACGUCAGUUUGGUCAGUUUGGCGUUGGGGAGUUCCUCCACAGUUCACGCCUGCCGGGCCGCACCCCACACAGCUUGGAAACCAAAGGGCGUGAAGCAGGAGGAAGGCCGGUCCUCGCCAGCGGCGGCCGCAGGGGCCAGGCAGGCGGGCUGCCCGGGGAGGUGCGGGUCUGAGCUUGGACCGGGCAGGGGUUGGGAGGGUGAGUUAAAU